UGCGGAGAGGGCUGAUGGCCACUCUGAGUUUAUUAUAACCAGCGUUUCAAUAUAUACAUAGCUUACAGCUGUUAAACAUACACAGGUGUUCUGGAUGAAGUAAUUAGCGAAUGCCAAGAAUUCUUAGUGAUUUCUCAAGGAGCCCUCCCUUGGCCUCUGUUUUGAUAUUAUCAUGUUGUUGCUGUGCUCCUAUAUUUUUAUCUCAGAGCAGGCAAGGUCUCUUAGGCAACGGUCCCUCUUGCUCCCGAUAUCGGUAUCGUUUCUCCAUCUGUGCCCCCGGGCGGCCGCCGCCUGGCUUAGGUUGCCCCCCCAGGGGGUCUUACCUGUCAUUGGCUAACCGGCCUUCUCACCUCUGGGUCACAGUUUGUUGGCAAGCUUUUUCCAGUGAUUAUUAACCCUUCCUGUGUCAGGGGCGGCUACAAUUCAUUCAACUGUGGAUUAGUUCUUUCUAUAUACGUCUAAGGAUCCCUCCUAAGUGCCUCCAGCACCACAAAUAUGAGCGGGGAAAGACUGAAGAACUGGACAGCAUUUUCUUAAACUGAAGUCAGGGAAAGUUACUGCCUAUGCGUAGUCGAAGAGAGAAAAAGAAAGAAACUCAAAGCAGAAAGGGCACUGUAUUCCGAUUUCCUAGAAUUCCUCUACAGCUGGAAAAAGCCGACCUGCAAGGUCGAAACCCUAAUGUUUGACCAUGGACUUGGUCACAGGACAAGUGGCAGGAAGGGCUACCCUGGGAUGGAGGAAGGCACCGGAAGUGAGGAAGUCGAUCCCAUCUGGGAACCCUUCUGUGUGGACCUGAGAGAGCAGUUACAGCGGCUGAUGGGUCCCAGUCCGGAGGCGGCCUUGGCUCUCACAGCAGGAAAGAGGAAAGGGGUCCAGGGAGGGCCUCGGCGGGGGGAGUUUCACUGGAGACUGGAGGAGCUACAGCGGGCGCAGAGGCGACGGGCUGCACACAGAUCUAGCAGGGCUGAGGAGAAGGGCCCGGCGAGCGAGUGGGUGACUCACAGGAACUCCUGUCUCCUCUCUUAUUGUCUGGUACCACAUGCCAUUCAGCAUAUGCUUUUCAUCAAUUUGCGUGGAUAGAAACCACCAAAGAAAGACGUUUUUUAAAUGUUAGGAAAUUACCCAAGAAGGGAAAGCUUCUAGAACUUGUCAGUGGUGACUAUCAUUUUAACAUCAUGCUGGGGUUCAAUUGGUGGGGACAGGGGUGACACUAACAUCCUUAUUUGAUGUGGGGAGACCAACAGGGCCAAAGAGUGAGCCUAAGAACUGGGACACCUUACCUUUUCUAUGAAUAGUUUCCCAUAGAUUCAUCCUGCUCCCUCCUGCCUCUUGCCACCAACCAGAGAUGGAAUCUUCCAUUUGUCUCUCAUCAUAAAGCUCAUCACUUUUUUUUUUUAAGUGUGUUAAAUUUGACUCAGGUAAUAGAAUUCUGCAGGCUGCUGACUUGUGAGAAAAGUAAGACAGCUGUUUUCAUGUGUUAAAAAGAACUUGGAUCGACAGUUAACAUAAUCUACUGUGAACAUUUUUCCCCACUGAGGGCAGAUAAGUAUGUUUGGUUUGAGCCGUUAAAUCUCUACAUUUGCACAUAUGCAUUGAUAUGCAAUGAGCUGCAGAGAGCUAAUUGUCCACAGAAUAGUGUGACAGCUCACGUUCAGUAUGGACACUCUUUCCCGGAGUCAAUCACUUUCAAAAAGAAAAAUAAAUCUUAAUUUUUCCUCUCA
rnacentral:lncRNA from 1 species